GGACGGGUGAGUAACACGUGGGCGACCUGCCUGUAAGACUGGGAUAACUUCGGGAAACCGGAGCUAAUACCGGAUAAUGCAUAACCUCUCAUGAGGCUAUGCUGAAAGAUGGUUUCGGCUAUCACUUACAGAUGGGCCCGCGGCGCAUUAGCUAGUUGGUGAGGUAACGGCUCACCAAGGCAACGAUGCGUAGCCGACCUGAGAGGGUGAUCGGCCACACUGGGACUGAGACACGGCCCAGACUCCUACGGGAGGCAGCAGUAGGGAAUCUUCCGCAAUGGACGAAAGUCUGACGGAGCAACGCCGCGUGAGUGAUGAAGGUUUUCGGAUCGUAAAACUCUGUUGUUAGGGAAGAACAAGUGCCGGAGUAACUGCCGGCACCUUGACGGUACCUAACCAGAAAGCCACGGCUAACUACGUGCC
rnacentral:rRNA from 1 species